UCUCUGUCAUUUCAUUGAAACUUUACUGCAUUUUAAUUUUCCAUUUGUCUUCCUAAAUCUCUUAAGAUAUGAUCCAAAAAGUGACUCGUGGUCAAAUAUAGCACCUUUGAGUGUUCCUCGAGAUGCUGUUGCAGUAUGCCCCCUUGGAGACAAACUCUAUGUGGUUGGUGGAUAUGAUGGUCAUACUUAUUUGAAUACUGUUGAAUCGUAUGAUGUUCAGAAAGAUGAAUGGAAAGAGGAAGUUCCUGUGAACAUUGGAAGAGCUGGGGCAUGUGUUGUAGUUGUGAAGCUACACUGAAAUUGCCAUUAGCUAAUGGAAUUAAUUCAAGAAUGAAAAAAAAAAGCUCUUCUGUGAAGUUGAUAAGCAAACUAAAUUUUGUUGCAUCAUUCUCAUGUGGAGUUGAAACUAUUAAUAUUUGUACGGCUGAAAACAAGACUUAAAUGUCAAUAACAUGUUAGUGUUAAGUGUAUAUACUGUCUCAGUUAAUAGUCUAAUGAGAAACCUAAUGGGCUAUGUUUAGCUUUAUUACCACAAAAUUUUAAAACACCUAAUGAAUAUUUUUGUUGUGGGCAAUAUAUGAAGGUGAUGAAUGCAUUAACAAUUUUCAUGUAAGGAUCUGGGAAGUAAAAACAUUUUUUUUUUCCCUAAAGGUACUCUACUGUCUGGAAUAACUUAAUUCAAAAAUACAAAACGACAGAAAUUUUAAAGCAUAAAGUCUGGAUUUCAAACAAUAGUUCACAGAACUAAUAAUACCUCACAUUGCCAAGAAAAAAAAAAAAGGAUUUUUUUUGUCAAAGAUGAAACAGAUCAUUCAUUGAUGUAAUUUGCUAUACUAAUCACACUAUAUCAAACUUCCCACAAACCUAUAAUUUUCAGUUAACUAUCUGCCAAAAUACACGUAUAGAUUUUCUAUCUCAUGAUGUGGUGUGUUAGUAUAUUCAUUUGCAGUAAAAUUCACAAUCUAUAUUCUGAAACAGUGAAUAUCAUAUUGAUAAAUACUUGUGACCUGAGCAUUAGGAUGUGUGGGUCUCAUGUGCAUAGAAAUUAAUUUACUCUUCAAACAUUUAAUGUGUUCUCUGGAAACACCUUCUAUUAAGUUAAAAAUGAUUUAAACAAUUCUAAAGAAGAUUAUAAUUGAGAAAAUGAUAUACAAAAUUAGCACUUAGAAACAUCAAAAUGUUUAAUAUGCACAGCCAAGUCUAUAAUUUCCUGUUACCUAUCAAUACUUACUAUUUUAAAUUUCAUAAUCAUGUUUACCCAGUAGCAAAGGGUAAGGACAUGUGUAUACUAUAAAACUACACUUUUAAAAAUAAAAAAGACUAUGAGUCUUUUCA
rnacentral:lncRNA from 1 species